rnacentral:rRNA from 1 species
GAGUUUGAUCCUGGCUCAGAUUGAACGCUGGCGGCAGGCCUAACACAUGCAAGUCGGGCGGUAGAGAGAAGCUUGCUUCUCUUGAGAGCGGCGGACGGGUGAGUAAUGCCUAGGAAUCUGCCUGGUAGUGGGGGAUAACGCUCGGAAACGGACGCUAAUACCGCAUACGUCCUACGGGAGAAAGCAGGGGACCUUCGGGCCUUGCGCUAUCAGAUGAGCCUAGGUCGGAUUAGCUAGUUGGUGAGGUAAUGGCUCACCAAGGCGACGAUCCGUAACUGGUCUGAGAGGAUGAUCAGUCACACUGGAACUGAGACACGGUCCAGACUCCUACGGGAGGCAGCAGUGGGGAAUAUUGGACAAUGGGCGAAAGCCUGAUCCAGCCAUGCCGCGUGUGUGAAGAAGGUCUUCGGAUUGUAAAGCAACUUUAAGUUGGGAGGAAGGGCAGUAAAUUAAUACUUUGCUGUUUUGACGUUACCGACAGAAUAAGCACCGGCUAACUCUGUG